ACAUGCAAGUCGAGCGGACAGAAGGGAGCUUGCUCCCGGAUGUUAGCGGCGGACGGGUGAGUAACACGUGGGUAACCUGCCUGUAAGACUGGGAUAACUCCGGGAAACCGGAGCUAAUACCGGAUAGUUCCUUGAACCGCAUGGUUCAAGGAUGAAAGACGGUUUCGGCUGUCACUUACAGAUGGACCCGCGGCGCAUUAGCUAGUUGGUGGGGUAAUGGCUCACCAAGGCGACGAUGCGUAGCCGACCUGAGAGGGUGAUCGGCCACACUGGGACUGAGACACGGCCCAGAYUCCUACGGGAGGCASCAGUAGGGAWUCUUCCGCAAUGGACGAAAKUCUGASGGAGCAACGCCGCGUGAKUGAUGAAGGUUUUCGGWUSGUAAAGYUCUGUUGUUAGGGAAGAACAAGUGCRAGAGUAACUGCUCGCACCUUGACGGUACCUAACCAGAAAGCCACGGCUAACUACGUGCCAGCAGCCGCGGUAAUACGUAGGUGGCAAGCGUUGUCCGGAAUUAUUGGGCGUAAAGGGCUCGCAGGCGGUUUCUUAAGUCUGAUGUGAAAGCCCCCGGCUCAACCGGGGAGGGUCAUUGGAAACUGGGAAACUUGAGUGCAGAAGAGGAGAGUGGAAUUCCACGUGUAGCGGUGAAAUGCGUAGAGAUGUGGAGGAACACCAGUGGCGAAGGCGACUCUCUGGUCUGUAACUGACGCUGAGGAGCGAAAGCGUGGGGAGCGAACAGGAUUAGAUACCCUGGUAGUCCACGCCGUAAACGAUGAGUGCUAAGUGUUAGGGGGUUUCCGCCCCUUAGUGCUGCAGYUAACGCAUUAAGCACUCCGCCUGGGGAGUACGGUCGCAAGACUGAAACUCAAAGGAAUUGACGGGGGCCCGCACAAGCGGUGGAGCAUGUGGUUUAAUUCGAAGCAACGCGAAGAACCUUACCAGGUCUUGACAUCCUCUGACAACCCUAGAGAUAGGGCUUUCCCUUCGGGGACAGAGUGACAGGUGG
rnacentral:rRNA from 1 species